rnacentral:lncRNA from 1 species
UUAAAUAAUAGAUAGAACUACAUACCUUGUUGUUGUAAAUGUUCCUUGAAACCUUGUGAGCCUAGCACCCUAAGUGUCAUGCCUCAAAUGCUUCACACAACACCAAAUGCUAUGGAGUAAACUUGGAGAGAAAGUGUAACACACUAAAAUCGGCUCUAGCCCUCUUGUUUCUUGGUGUAACCGAUUUUUGGGAGAACACAUGAGCUUUAUAUAGUGUUGACACAUCUAGGGUUACACCAUGUAAACGCUAAUGUGUCAUGACUCUUCAUUUCCAUGACCCAUGGGUUUGUAACUCCCAUGGAGCCUCCAUGGAGCAUCCAAUGGGUUUAACCCAACUUGAUUAUCCAUGGAGCCUCUUAGCCCACUAUAUAAGUUAUGGAUGAUUUACAUAAUCAACCCAUAUAUUUAAUUAGUUAUCUUUUGAUCACUUAAUUAAUUCUUGAAUUAAUUCUUGAUCAAACUAAUUAAAUAAUAUUAUUAAUAUAUUAGAACUUAUAAUAUAUUAAUAAACCACAUGUGUUAUUUCUCUCAUUUAGUCUAUCCAAUUGCAUGGUGCCAUGCAACCCAAAUGGACCAUGCCGGGUCGGGUCAAGUACAUACCAGAAAUAGUUAUGGACUUAGACACCUUAUCCAACAGUCUCCCACUUGGAUAAGUCUAAUAACUAUAACUGCAAGUAUGACUUCAGGAACCGAUCGACAAUCGUAGCUCUUUUCAAGGUUUCUCGGAACUGAGAAGAUGAUGGUACGCCAUUUCAGAUAAGGGAUCAUAUAAUCCUCUGUUCUAGAUAUCAGCCAGACAAAUACAUGGAACAAUGUCUUACUUAUUGUCCAGCAGUUUGUUUCUCGAUUUCCGAUUUGUUUGACAAAGAACUUAAUUGAACACAUCAACUUAGUUCUGACCGGGCCCGGUACAUAGGUCAAAACAAAAUCAUCGAGGGGCCUAGAUAUCAGCUUCUAAUCCAAGAAGGAACAGAUAAACUUCGACUCAUAUGCUUGUUCUACUACUUGUUAAAUUACACACAAACGCACGUUUUAUAACAUCGAGUUACCAAUGCGCUUUCGCACGUUCAAUGAAUAACUAAGUCAUAGUUAACAAAUCAUAUCUCUAGGUUUGAAGACUUAUAUGAUAUUACCGUCUCACGAUCACUCGAGAUAAAAUUCCAUGAAGUGAUUCCAGUGAGCGUGGGUUGAGUCCAAUGCUCAGAACUUAUGAGCACUCAUGAUUGUUGUAGCCUUGUCCAACACCUUAGACCUCUACAACCCAUCAUGACAGUCUUGAUUCAUACCUACUUCCGACAUAUGACCGACUGUGGAGGUUUGAAUAAUAUGUUAUACCAAACAAAAUUAUUCUGGAAGUCAAAACAUGCAAAAGAAAUAUAGUAAACGAUUGACAAGAGAUAGCAACACUUUACUCAUAAAUAAAACACCUUUUAUUCAUCAUCAAAUGUCAAUUACACUUUACAAAUUUCUGGGUUAUCUAACUACUAAAACUUAUAUCAUCCUUCAGCCCUAUGCUCCGAGCAUGCUGGAGAUGCUUAACCCUACUCAGUCCCUUCGUGAGGGGAUCUGCUGGGUUCUCAUCCGAUGAUACCCUCUUUGCCACGAGGAGUCCUUCUUCGAUCCGAUGUCUGAUGAAAUGGUAUUUUCUGUCGAUGUGUCUGGAUCUCCCGUGAUCCCUUGGUUCCUUGGCUAAGGCAACAGCACUUUCACUAUCACAGAAAAUUUCCAUUGGCUCUUUAAUAGCUGGUACAACUCCAAGGUCUCCAAUGAAGUUCUUCAGCCAUAUCGCCUCCUUUGCUGCUUCACUAGCUGCAAUAUACUCUGAUUCACAAGUAGAAUCUGCCACUGUCUCUUGCUUGGAACUUUUCCAAGAAAUUGCUCCUCCGUUUAAGGUAAAGACCCAGCCCGACUGAGAGCGGAAAUUAUCCCUAUCAGUCUGGAAGCUAGCAUCACUAUACCCUACAACUCUCAAGUCAUCACUCCCACCGAGGGUAAGGACCCAGUCCUUAGUCCUCCGCAGGUACUUGAGAAUGUUCUUUACCGCUGUCCAGUGAGCCUUACCAGGAUUCCCCUGAUACCUGCUAACCAUGCUUAAAGCAAAGGCUACAUCAGGACGAGUACAGGUCAUAGCAUACAUGAUCGAGCCUACUGCCGAAGCAUAAGGUAUCCGACUCAUUUCUGCUAUCUCAUCCUCAGUACUCGGGCUCUGAGUCUUACUCAGUCUAGUGUUACUCUGGAUGGGUAACUCUCCUUUCUUGGAAUCUUGCAUGCUGAAUCUCUUCAGUACCUUAUCCAAGUAUGUACUCUGACUAAGUCCAAUUAGUCUUUUACUCCGGUUUCUCAAGAUCCUUAUCCCUAGAAUAUAGGCAACUUCUCCUAGGCCCUUCAUAGCAAAACACUUCCCAAGCCAGGACUCUGCAGAGUUGGGAUGUCAUUUCCUAUGCGUAGUAUGUCAUCCACAUACAAAACCAAAAAGUUAACUAUACUCCCACUAGCCUUGACAUAUACACAAGAUUCAUCUUCACUCCUAGAGAAGCCAAAUUCUUUGACCUUCUCAUCAAAGCAAAGAUUCCAUCUGCGAGGUGCUUGCUUUAAUCCAUAGAUGGAUUUCUCAAGCUUACACACUCUAUUAGGGUACUCUGUGCUGACAAAACCCUCUGGCUGAUUCAUGUAAACAUCCUCAGCCAACUUUCCAUUAAGGAAAGCGGUUUUGACAUCCAUUUGCCAUAUUUCAUAGUCAUGAAAUGCAGCUAUGGCUAACAAUACCCUAAUGGACUUAAUCUUGGCUACUGGAGAAAAGGUCUCAUCAUAAUCCACUCUAGGAGUUUGAGAGAAGCCCUUUGCUACCAGUCGAGCCUUAUAAGUGUGUACAUUACCAUCCAUGUCGGUCUUCUUCUUGAAGAUCCAUUUGCACCCUACAGUCUUACGACCUGGUACAUUCUCAACCAAGUCCCAGACCUGAUUGUCAUACAUGGAUUGUAUCUCGCUAUCCAUUGCCUCUUUCCAUUUAGCAGACUCAGGGCCUGCCAUGGCUUCCGCAUAGCUGUUAGGUUCAUCUAGACCUACUAGUGUCUCAUCACUAAUAAGUGUCUCACCUUCCGCAAUAAUAUAAAAGCCAUAGUAAUGCUCAGGUACAUUCCUAACCCUUGUGGAACGCCUCAGAGGUACAACUGGAGCUAUAAUCGGAUCAACAGGAGGUUCCUCCUCAAGUUGACUGCUACGGUUUGUGGUUCCUUUACCACUUGAAUCUUGAAGUUCUUCAAGAUCAAUUAGCCUCCCACUGUCUCCUUGGCUUAUAAAUUCUCUCUCUCGAAAGAUAGCCCUCCUUGCUACAAAGACCACAUUCUCACUAGGUCUGUAGAAGAGGUAACCAAAGGAUUUUUGUGGGUAGCCGAUGAAAAUACACUUCUCGCUUCGAGGUUCGAGCUUGUCAUGAGUCUCGCGUCUCAUGAAAGCCUCGCAACCCCAAACCUUGAUGUGGGCUAGACUAGGAACUUUUCCAGUCCACAUCUCGUGAGGUGUUUUGGCAACCUUCUUUGUAGGGACCAGAUUAAGGAUAUGGGUGGCAGUCUCUAAGGCAUACCCCCAAAAUGAGAUUGGUAGCGUAGCUCGACUCAUCAUGGAACGAACCAUGUCCAAAAAGGUUCGAUUACGCCUCUCAGCUACACCAUUCAACUGUGGUGUCCUGGGAGGUGUCAAUUGUGAGACAAUCCCACAGUCCCUAAGAUAGUCGAGGAACUCUGAACUAAGAUACUCACCACCUCGAUCGGAUCGAAGCAUCUUAAUGUUCAUGCCCAAUUGAUUCUCGACUUCCUGUUUAAAUUCCUUAAACUUUUCGAAAGUCUCUGACUUAUGCUUGAUUAAGUAGACAUAUCCAUAUCUACUAUAAUCAUCCGUAAGGGUCACGUAAUAACGAUUAGCAUCCCUUGUGGCAUGUUUGAAGGGUCCACACACAUCCGUGUGCACAAGAUCCAACAAACCUUCACCCCUCUCACAUGAACCAGUGAAGGGUGACUUUGUCAUUUUUGCAAGCAAGCAUGAUUCGCAACAAUCAUCUGACCUUAGGUCAAAUGACUCCAAGACUCCAUCCUUUUGGAGUUGGCCUAUGCGUUUCUUGCUUAUAUGCCCAAGACGACAACGCCAUAAUGAUGCUUUAUCCAAGUUAUUACUAUUAGAAGAAUCAAUACACUAUACAUUAUUUCCUAAGUUAUCUACAACAGACACAGCUUUAUACACACCAUCACAAGGUAGUGCUUUAAAAUAAAGCACAUUAUUAAGGAAAGCAUUUAUUCCACCAGUUUCAUUAUCAAAAGAAAAGCUAAAACCUUGUUUAUACAAAGCAUGAAGGGAAAUAACAUUUCUUGCCAUUUCUGGCGAGUAAGAACAUUUAUUCAAAUCUAAAGUAAAUCCACUACUAAGCAACAAAGUAUAAACUCCAAUCUUGGUGACAGGUGAAACUUUCCUAUUCCCCAUGAUUAAGUUUAUCUUUCCAUGCUCCACAUUCUCAUUUCUUCUUAGUCCCUGCAUUUCAGAACAAAUAUGAAUACCACAACCAGUAUCAAGGACCCAAGAGUUAGAAUAGAGUGAAUUCUUAGAUGAGAUAGUGUAAAUACCUGCAUGGUUGGGUUUAACUUUCCCAUCCUUCAAAUCUCGUUGGUACUUUGGGCAGUUACACUUCUAAUGCGCCUUUUCGUGGCAGUAGAAGCAUUCAGCCUCUUUGGGAUCAGAAGAAGGUGUAACAAAACCUUUCAUGGUUCCGCUAGAAGAGGAGCCAUCAAGGGUCUUACCCUUGGUACCCUUCGAAGGGCUCUUUCUCUUCUUCCCUCUACCUUUCCCGAUUGCUAGGACAGGUGUUGAGUUUGGAGUAGUAGCAGGAGUGGUCACAACCGACUUACCUUUAAGACCUGAUUCUGCGGUCUUUAGGAGUCCCUGAAGUUUGCUAAGUGUAACUUCCUCCUUAUUCAUGUGGUAUGUCAUGCGGAAUUGAUCAUAACACGAAGGUAAGGAGUGCAAAAUAAUAUCUAUUGCUAACUCCUCAGGGAAGUUCACAUUCAACUUCAUCAAUCGAUCCACAUACCUUUGCAUUUUCUGCAUGUGGCUUGUGAUGGGUUCGCCAUCUUUCAUUCGGGUUGUGAUCAUAGAGGAGAUGAUUUCAUAUCGCUCUUGACGAGCACUAUGAUGGUAGCGGUCCAUCAAAUCCUGGUGCAUCUCAAAAGGAUAGUAGUCCUCAUAGGACUUUUGGAGCUCGGCUGUCAUGGUGGCCAUCAUGAUGCAUGCCACUUUGGUAGCAUCUCUUUCAUGAACCUCAUAUUCAGCAAGCUCCUCAGGAGUAGCAGUUGGCUCAGGCACCUUGAGCUCCUUGUCAAGAACAUAUUCCUUGUUCUCGUAACGAGUGACCAUCCUGAUGUUUCUGAUCCAGUCAGUAAAGUUGGAUCCAUCAAAGAUGACUCUCCCACAAAGGUUCAUGAGAGAGAAGGAGCCAGUAGGGUUUGAGCCAGGAGUAGCAUUGUUGGAAGACAUCUGAAAAGAAGAAAAAAAGUUUAGUUUAGAUAUAGGGAUAGUCCUUAAUAAAACACCCAAAUGUAAUAUUAAGGCUAGGAUCCAAUCACAAUAUAUUAUAACCUAGAAGAGGGAUGCCGUAAUCCAAGUUAUAACAUAUUUGAAAGGUAGGUGAAUGACGAUUCACCAAUUUCCACCAUGAAAACGAAAUAUAAAUUAUUAGGUUUUAUUUGGCUUUUAGAAAUUCCUAGAUUCUUUGAGAUUCAUUGAACUUUUCAAUGGCAUGUUUCAAUCUCGAGUGUGCCCUUCAUGUUUUGUGACUGGGAUACCGAGGAUCACAAAACAAGGUGUGAAGUAACCAUGCAAAUUACUUGGUACCCUUAAUGUUUUUCACUUAAUCGUAGUGCCGGUAAACCACACGCGCUCCUUCCGACCUCAUGAAAAAACUUAAGUCACCCUUUUCUUUCCUUGUUAAUUCCAAGUUAGAGUGUCGGUAAACCACACACGCUCCACCAACGACUUUGACAAGGUGCAAAGUGUAAUUUCAUGGAUUAGCACCUUAUUCACAUUUUCCUAAAGUAACUAAGAUUGGGAAUUUAUAAAACAUUUAGUUACUUUAUAAUAAUCAUUAUACUUUUAAUGAGAAUUUAUAAGUCCUUGUCUUACCCGUUCGGCUAACGACCCUCCACCAGUCAAGCAAGCGGUGGGUGAGAGUGGACACCCAUUAAGUUGCCAUUUUAUAGGCAACAACCUUAUACCCACCUUAUAGACNNNNNNNNNNNNNNNNNNNNNNNNNNNNNNNNNNNNNNNNNNNNNNNNNNNNNNNNNNNNNNNNNNNNNNNNNNNNNNNNNNNNNNNNNNNNNNNNNNNNNNNNNNNNNNNNNNNNNNNNNNNNNNNNNNNNNNNNNNNNNNNNNNNNNNNNNNNNNNNNNNNNNNNNNNNNNNNNNNNNNNNNNNNNNNNNNNNNNNNNNNNNNNNUUUUUAAUCCAAGAGACUUUUGGUUUUCCAUAACUUGAGGACAAGUUAUGGACUCCAUUAAAACACAUUAUGAUCAUGAAUUAAUCUACCACAUAGGUUACAAAUAAUUCCUAUGAUCAUCUAAACAUCAUAAGAACAAGAAUAUGAAUAUGAACACUUUCAAGAAUCAAAAUCACAUUUAAUCUUUGUAAUUUUGAUAACUAGUUGUUGUAAAUGAGUUAGAAAAGACAUUACACCUUCUAAAAUAAGUUUUCAAGUACCAAAACAUUUUAGGGUAAUGAUUCUAAUCCAUUUCCAGCAACACAAGUCGAAAUUCUGCACUCUGUCGACCCUACUCGCCGAGUGCAUAAACCUACUCGCCGAGUAGGUUGAAGAUACACAUGAACUCGUCGAGUCCUCCCCAUGGACUCGCCGAGUCCAUCAGUCAGACAGCAAGAUUUUCGACUUUCUUCAACUUUUUAGCACAAAUAACAAACAAACAAGCCUAGGCUCUGAUACCACUGAUGGGUUUUGAGCAUUCUAACACUUCCUAAGUGUACAUGCAACCCUAAUAACCUUGGAUCUAUGUUUGUCUAAUUAUCAUGCAAUGUUGAUUUCCAAGGCUAUGAUCCUAUCUAGCAUACAUGAGGAACAAUUUUAACUUAAAUAAUAGAUAGAACUACAUACCUUGUUGUUGUAAAUGUUCCUUGAAACCUUGUGAUCCUAGCACCCCAAGUGUGAUGCCUCAAAUGCUUCACACAACACCAAAUGCUAUGGAGUAAACUUGGAGAGAAAGUGUAACACACUAAAAUCGGCUCUAGCCCUCUUGUUUCUUGUCUAACCGAUUUUGGGAGAACACAUGAGCUUUAUAUAGUGUUGACACAUCUAGGGUUACACCAUGUAAACCCUAAUGUGUCAUGACUCUUCAUUUCCAUGACCCAUGGGUUUGUAACUCCCAUGGAGCCUCCAUGGAGCAUCCAAUGGGUUU